rnacentral:rRNA from 1 species
AAUUUUGGACCAUGGGGGAAACUCUGAACCAGCCAUCGCGCGUGUAUGAUGAAGGGCUUCGUGUUGUAAAGAACUUUUGGCAGUGAAGAAAAGGUAUCCCCUAAUACGGGAUACGGCUGACGGUAUCGGCAGAAUCACCACAGGCUACCUUCCAGCCAGCAGGCGCGGUAAGACGUAGUGUGCAAGCGUUAAUCGGAAUUACUGGGCGUACAGCGUGUGUCGGCGGUUCGGAAAGAAAGAUGGGAAAUCCCAGGGCUCAGCCUUUGAACUGCACUUUUAAAUGCCGAGCUAGAGUAUGUCAGAGGGGGGUAGAGUUCCACGUGUAGCAGUGAAAUGCGUAGAUAUGUGGAGGAAUACUGAUAGCGAAGGCAACCCCCUGCGAUAAUACUGACGCUCAGACACGCAAGCGUGGGGAGCAAACA